AGCUUUGCGCAGUGGCAGUAUCAUAGCCAAUGAGGUCCAACCGAAGCAUGAUUAUUGCUACUUGG
rnacentral:snRNA from 1 species